rnacentral:lncRNA from 1 species
AUUAAGCUCUCAACAUUCAUCCUCUUGGAUCUUCGGCUCCUUCAAUGUUGCUAUUUCCGGUAAGAAUCGCUUUUGUUUUCAAGAAUCACAGACCAUGAAUGAAUCCAAGCAGCUGCAAAUGAUUUGCAUACCCAUGAACUGGUGCCAGCAGCUUCACUCUCCAGUCUGCAGGGGGCAAGAAACCAAGAUAUGGCAAUAAUAGGGUUCAUCAAGGAUAACCCAGAUCUCCCCCUGGAGCUUCAGAGUCCCUGGGAGAGCUCUCCCAUGGCCACCGACCCGCAAGCUUCAUCUCACCAGUAAUCUCCACAAGAACACUCUCCAUCAGCGAAAUGGUGGAACCUCACUGGAUCUCUUAUUAUGAUCCUCCGAUCCUCGGCCUUGGACACGAUCUUGGCAAAGUUAUGGCAGUCGCCGCAGAUCCUGAGGUUCUUCAUCACCCGAAUGGGCUUCCCCUCUAUGGAGUUCAUCAGCCCGAAGACGAUCGCCAGCUUCUCGCUAUGAUACCUCAG